UGGGGAAUAUUGCACAAUGGGCGCAAGCCUGAUGCAGCGACGCCGCGUGGGGGAUGACGGCCUUCGGGUUGUAAACUCCUUUCGCCAGGGACGAAGCGUUUUGUGACGGUACCUGGAGAAGAAGCACCGGCUAACUACGUGCCAGCAGCCGCGGUAAUACGUAGGGUGCAAGCGUUGUCCGGAAUUACUGGGCGUAAAGAGCUCGUAGGUGGUUUGUCACGUCGUCUGUGAAAUUCCACAGCUUAACUGUGGGCGUGCAGGCGAUACGGGCUGACUUGAGUACUGUAGGGGUAACUGGAAUUCCUGGUGUAGCGGUGAAAUGCGCAGAUAUCAGGAGGAACACCGAUGGCGAAAGCAGGUUACUGGGCAGUUACUGACGCUGAGGAGCGAAAGCAUGGGUAGCAAACAGGAUUAGGUACCCUGGUAGUCCAUGCCGUAAACGGUGGGCGCUAGGUGUAGGGACCUUUUGGGGUUUCUGUGCCGUAGCUAACGCAUUAAGCGCCCCGCCUGGGGAGUACGGCCGCAAGGCUA
rnacentral:rRNA from 1 species